AACCUUGUAGCUUAUUUGGCUAGAGCGUUGGUUGUACUAAAGUCUUCCCCUUGCUGGCGUGGGUUUCGAAUCCCACCGAGGCUU
rnacentral:tRNA from 1 species